rnacentral:rRNA from 1 species
CCUACGGGUGGCAGCAGUGAGGAAUAUUGGUCAAUGGGCGAGAGCCUGAACCAGCCAAGUCGCGUGAAGGAUGAAGGAUCUAUGGUUUGUAAACUUCUUUUAUAUGGGAAUAAAGUGAGGAACGUGUUCCUGUUUGUAUGUACCAUAUGAAUAAGCAUCGGCUAACUCCGUGCCGGCAGCCGCGGUAAUACGGAGGAUGCGAGCGUUAUCCGGAUUUAUUGGGUUUAAAGGGUGCGUAGGUGGUUAAUUAAGUCAGCGGUGAAAGUUUGUGGCUCAACCAUAAAAUUGCCGUUGAUACUGGUUGACUUGAGUAUAUUUGCGGUAGGCGGAAUGCGUGGUGUAGCGGUGAAAUGCAUAGAUAUCACGAAGAACUCCGAUUGCGAAGGCAGUUCACUGGACUGCAACUGACACUGAGGCUCGAAAGUGUGGGUAUCAAACAGGAUUAGAUACCCUAGUAGUC